UUUAUGGGGAUUCCCGGUGUGAAUUGCAGAAUCCCGUGACCCAUCGAGUUUUUGACGCAGUUGCGCCCGAAGCCUUUUGGCCGAGGGCACGUCUGCCUGGGCGUCA
rnacentral:rRNA from 1 species